ACUCAUUCAUAGUUCGAUUACUUCAUUCAUUCAAUCAUUAUCAUCCAUGCACAUGGCAUAUGAAUAACUUAUAAUAAAAAAAAAACAUUUCAUCACACACUCAGGCGUGGUCAUGGUUCUGCUCAAGUCUUGGUGGUUCAUACUAAUUUCAUUGCAGUUGGAAUGACAAAAGGGCUCAUUGUUUUAGUUGCCUAGUAAAU
rnacentral:lncRNA from 1 species